CAUGGUCGGACAUUACAGUUUUUUCCUAUCGUUUUCGGUCAUGUACCCAUACUAUGGUCACUUUUCCCUAUCACUUAACACAGUGGGCUUUAGAGACACACACCUCUGCAUAUCUGUUAACCUUUGGUGCAAAAUGCACUACAACAACCACACCACAAACAAUGCUGCCAUAACUUAACACAUGUUUCCUCUCAGAACACUAUGACCUAAAAAACACUAACAUCUUGAAGCAUUGCCAAUUGCAUAUAUAAAAUGUUGCUGUGUCCUCCAGUUUGGCAUAGAUUUCCUGUAGUGUUGCAUUGAAAAAAAGAGAAAAAACACAGACAAACACUUCUUUGGACUACAGUAAUAAAGUUUGUAAUAUUACAGUAUGACAAUCCAAGCCAAGUAUCUGCUGACAGUGUUCAUAUGUCGGUUUACCUCCCACAAAAGAUGUCACAAUUGAGUGUGGUAAAUGUACUGUAAUUGUAAAUACAGUAAAUUACAGUAAAGUAAAGUGUUUUAUGAGAAACUGAGAAUAACAAUUUUCAGUUUUUGUAAUGCAAAUUACAUACAGUAAGUACGUAAUAUAUGAUCCAGAAACAAAUCACAAACACAACAGUUUUUUUCACUGUGCUUUACUUUUUGGAGAUUUUGUCACAGUGCAAGUGUUACACAAAACAGAAAAUACAUUACAAAAUCAUUGUAUGUAGUGUUGCUUUUACGUAAAAAAAGUAAUUCCAUGCCAAUUCACCAAGAACUAUGGUGCACAGGGGGAAAAAAAUCUAAAU